AGACACGGUCCAGACUCCUACGGGAGGCAGCAGUGGGGAAUAUUGUGCAAUGGGGGAAACCCUGACACAGCGACGCCGCGUGAGCGAAGAAGGCCUUCGGGUCGUAAAGCUCAAUAGUAUGGGAAGAUAAUGACGGUACCAUACGAAAGCCCCGGCUAACUACGUGCCAGCAGCCGCGGUAAUACGUAGGGGGCGAGCGUU
rnacentral:rRNA from 1 species